rnacentral:rRNA from 1 species
GACGAACGCUGGCGGCGUGCUUAACACAUGCAAGUCGAACGGAAAGGCCCUGCUUUUGUGGCGUGCUCGAGUGGCGAACGGGUGAGUAACACGUGAGUAACCUGCCCUUGACUUUGGGAUAACUUCAGGAAACUGGGGCUAAUACCGGAUAGGAGCUCCUGCUGCAUGGUGGGGGUUGGAAAGCUUCGGCGGUUGGGGAUGGACUCGCGGCUUAUCAGCUUGUUGGUGGGGUAGUGGCUUACCAAGGCUUUGACGGGUAGCCGGCCUGAGAGGGUGACCGGCCACACUGGGACUGAGAUACGGCCCAGACUCCUACGGGAGGCAGCAGUGGGGAAUAUUGCACAAUGGGCGGAAGCCUGAUGCAGCAACGCCGCGUGCGGGAUGACGGCCUUCGGGUUGUAAACCGCUUUCGCCUGUGACGAAGCGUGAGUGACGGUAAUGAGUAAAGAAGCACCGGCUAACUACGUG